rnacentral:rRNA from 1 species
UACCAGCUCUCCGAGUGGUAGGGAUGAUUAUUGGGCUUAAAGCGUCCGUAGCCGGCUUAGCAAGUUUCCUGUUAAAUUCAGCGACCUAAUCGUUGAGCCGCGGGAAAUACUACUAGGCUAGGAGGCGGGAGAGGUCAACGGUACUUCCGGGGUAGGGGUGAAAUCCUAUAAUCCCGGGAGGACCACCAGCGGCGAAGGCUGUUGGCUAGAACGCGCUCGACGGUGAGGGACGAAAGCUGGGGGAGCGAACCGGAUUAGAUACCCGGGUAGUCCCAGCUGUAAACGAUGCGAGCUAGGUGUUGGGAUGGCUACGUGCCAUUUCAGUGCCGCAGGGAAGCCAUUAAGCCCGCCGCCUGGGGAGUACGGCCGCAAGGCUGAAACUUAAGGAAUUGGCGGGGAGCACCACAAGGCGUGAAGCUUGCGGUUC